rnacentral:tRNA from 1 species
GCGGACGUGGCGGAAUUGGUAUACGCGCUAGCUUGAGGGGCUAGUGCCAGCAAUGGCUUGAGAGUUCGAGUCUCUCCGUCCGCACCA